rnacentral:lncRNA from 1 species
GUUAAAAGCAAAUGAUGAAGACUCAGAUGGGCAAAAACAUCAAGAAGCUCUAAUAUAAUAAUGGUGGCUCGUACAAAUAUGAUUCAUUCCUCAAAGUAUGCCUAAACAGAACACAUGAAUUGUAGUCUGGCGACAAAAAAUCGAUGCAUGUUGUCUCAUGCUAGAUUGAAUAAGGCAUUUUGGAUAGAGGUAGUGAUCUAUACCUCUCAUCUUGUCAACAGAUUACCUACAACUGGGAUUGGUGAACAAACUACAAUGGAGGUAUGGUCUAGUAAACCUGUUACAGAUUAUGAUUGGCUACACAUGUUAGGAUAUUUUGCAUAUUUUCACGUGAUUGAAUCCAAGUUGGAUUCUAGACCUAAGAAAUCCAUAUUCUUAGGGCUUUAGUUUUAGUACAAGGCAUACAGACUUUGGUGUCCUUAGUUAAAGAAAGUUGUUUUAAGUAGGGAUGUUACUUUUGACGAGUUUGGGAUGUUACAACUGAAAAAUUUUGAGAAAGAGAAUUUGAGUUGGACAUUUACUCAAAAGAUAGAGCUUAUGAGUCUAGUAGUGCCAACUAAGACUAUUCAAAUAGUUGAUAUUCCUGACAAAGAAUCUAAGGAUACUAACACUACACUAAAUCUAAAAGAGACUCAAACUUCACAACCAGUGGAAUCUGUCGUAACUAGUAAACAACAAAAAACAAUUUAUAGAAAUUCAAAUCUAGUUAGGUGGCUAAAGGUUACGUUUAUAAAGAAUGGAUAGACUACAGUGAGGUAUUUUCUCCUGUUGUCAAGCAUUUGUCUAUUCGGAUUUUACUAGCUUUGUUUACUCAGUUUGAUCUUGAGUUAGCUCAAUUUGAAGUAAAAACUGCUUUCUUACAUGGUAAUUUGGAUGAAGAGAUAUACUUGUCUCAUCUAGAUAGGUUUAAAGUACCUGGUAAAGAACAUUUAGUAUGUCAGUUAAGACAAUCUUUAUAUGGCUUGAAGGAAUAUAUUCAACAAUGGUAUAUGAGAUUUGAUCGGUUCAUGGUAGAGCACAAAUAGAUAAGAAGUUAGUUUGCUCAUUGUGUGUUAAUCAAAUAUGGAUGAUAUGUUGAUCACAUCUAAGAGCAAGGUGGAGAUUGACCGAAAAUAUAUUCAACUCAAUUAGGAAUUUGAAAUGAUGGAUCUUGGUGAACACAAGAAAAUUUUAGGGAUGGAGAUUAAGAGAUAUGGAAUGAAAGGUAUCGUUUGGUUAACUGAUUACAUCAUAAGUGUAAUAUAGAUCUUUUUAAAUUUUUUACUUUUUUCGAACUUAGAUUGCAUUAAUUUCCUUAUUUUAGUUAGAUAUUUGUUUGUUAUAUUUUGAUGUGUUUUGUAGGUUAUAUGAGCAUAAAAGCAAAAGAAAUAGAAAAAGAGCAAAAUCACCAAAAACCAAUCGGGUGGAGUGAUCAGUGCCCCAAUUGCUGAACCCGGCUUCCAUAUAUUCUCCCAAGCCUCAGAGAAAUCAAACAAGUGGCAACAGAAAACUCACAAGUUGGCAAAGACAAAAAUCAACAAGUUGGCAAAAAAAUUCAACAAAGUUGGCAAAAAAAUCAACAACACUACUUGCUCUCUUUCUUUAAUAAUUUUUUUUUUUAAACCCAUGUGUAUCUCCCCUCUCUUUCUUUCUCUUUCAUCCGACGAUUUUAUCGUUUAAGUUACUACUUAUAUUUUUCGUCUAAAUGGCUGGGUUAAAUUUUCUUUAAUAUCAUUUUCUGUUAAGUUCUCUUAUUUUUAUUUGUUUACAUUACAUUAUGGUUAUAUACUCUGAUUCAUAUCCGCUUUUAAAUUAUCUAUUGUUUGCUUUACUAUUUAUUUAUUAUUUCGUUGGCUUCCACUUCUUCAUAUCUUGCUUCCCUCUUCACAUGGGUAACCUAAUUGGUUUGUAAGUUUUAUCUAUUUUAUUUUGUAUUUACUCUUAAUAUUUCAAAGAUUUUCAUAAUAAAAGAUGAUAGCUAAGUUCUUAAAUCUGGGGUUGAUUGUGAAUAUUGGUUGAAUGUUUUGGAGAUGAAAAAGGAUUAAGAAUUUUUGGUUUUCAAAGUUAUUAUUCAGUUUUAUCAUUCUUAUCCUUCAUUAUUCUAUAAAUUAUUGAAAACUUGGGAUGAUUAGAUUAUGUUCGGCACCGCUUAUUAUGCAAUAAACCUAAUUUAGUAUAUAGCAUUGCGUGAAUCGAUGGUAUUCAUCUUUAAAUUAACUACCAAUCAAUCUAAGAAAUGAAGUUUUAAAGAACAAAGGGUUUUAAUCCUAAUCUUCGAUACAUACUGGACUCACGAACGAAGUUUCCCCCAAAGGAUUUGAGUUAUAAACAUCUCACCUUUGGAAUUCCAAGACAACAAUAUCAGUUAAAAAAACGAUAACCCCGAGAUAAUUUCACAUUAAUUUACAAACAAUUUUCAUUCAAGUUAUUAAUUUGUAUUUGUCAAUAGUGAGAACUCAAACAAAUUUCAAAAACAAUCAGAUUUUUAGUUUUUUUUAAAAAUUUUUUUCAUCCUUUGUGAUUAAUUGAGAGGGAAACUCUUCUUCCUUUCAGGCCUUGCUCACACAACUACCCUGUGAAUUCGACCUCGUACAUGCGAGUUAUAACUACUCGCUCGGCUCUCUUAGGGUCUAUCUAUUCAAGCGCGCGUUUGGCGAGAGAUCAGUUUUGGCGCCGUUGCCGUUGAGUUGAAGGAACGAGCAAAGCGCUAAAAAAAAAAAAAAACUUUAAAAAAAGUUUUUGAACUGUUGACCACCGAUUUUUGACUUUGAUUUUGACCAUCAAUUAAAAAAAUAAAAAAAAAUUUUGACUGUUGACCACUCGAAUGUUGACUGUUACUGUUUGAAUUUUGACAUGUCAAAUAAAAAAAAAAAAAAUUUUAAUUUUUUUUUUAUGGAAUUUGAUGUGUUGACAAGGAUUUGCAUACUAUUUGCAACAUUGAUCUUGCAUGUCCCAUUGGGGCUCGGAUAAACAUAGAUACCUUUUACGAGUUUUGACCCACCAUCAACCGGUUACGCACCUCCCAGAAUCUCGUUAGUGGUCGACCUAGAUAUCUUUUCUAUGGAAGCCAAAUGAAGAAGGGAGGGAAACCCAACUUUGUCCCAAAAAUCAAAUGCAAUGCUUAACCCACCAAUGGUGGAGUGCCGCAAAAUCCUCCCUCCAAAUCCGGCACAUGGCUUAAACAAGGGGUGAUAACAUGGAAGGCGGGAAGCAUCCCUGGAGGCAUUGGAAGCUCCCCCCCUUAAUUUUUUUUUCGAACAUUGAAAAAAAAAAAAAAAAAAAAGAGAUUACCUGACCUGACCGCGUCAACACCGAGUUCAUGCAUUGUUUCCCACCCCCACAUGCUUACUCUGAACAAUAGACCCAGGUAGAUGAAAUGCUUCCUCAAUUCAUGGGGUGUUCGGAAGCCUUAUGCCUUUAUUAAGGAAUCUUGGAAGAUGCUGCUCAUUAUUGAUGGACAAUUCUUGUCCAGGGAAUUCUUUCUUCUCAAACUUUUUCUUUUUAUUUAAAAGAUACUGCUAAGACAUCGUCAAUUCUUGAGACCGCAGUCUUGUUCGUCUCACUCUUUUGGCAAACUCUUCAAGGAGAAUUUUGCAAAAGUUUUUUCAGAAAAUAGAACAGAAAGCAUUUAGACGUCGGCCAAAUUGUUCAAAAUUUUCUCCAUGUUAGGGGACAACUUCUUCAAUUGUUGGGAGCGUUUUAAGGAGCUUCUAACCUCUUGGCCCCACCAUGGUUUUUCCGAAUGGCACGGUAUCACAUCUUUCUACGCCUCUCUUAUGCCCCAACUAAAACAAUUUGUCGAGACUAAUGUGCGCAGCAGGAACUUUCUGGAUACGCAACCUCAUGAAGCUUAUUCCUAUUUUGAUUACCUUGCAAAUUUUGACUUGAGAUUGGGCAUUCCACAGGGAACUCAGAAUCCCGAAGGUAGGCUACCAACAAGGGAAAAAUACCAUUGAAAGAGGUUGAGCGAUGUGAAUGCUAGGCUUGCCACCAUGGCAGAAAUUAGAAGCCCUAGAGUUUUACAAAGAUUAAUGCAGUAUGGAGUGAAGAGCCUAAGAAGUGUGUUUGUGGCCGUGUGUGAGACCAAAGAGCACGACAACCAUAUUGUGCCCGGUCAUUCCAGGUAUAAGAAAAGCCUUGCAAUAACCAGUCAAAUGCUAUUGAUUACUAUGCCAGGAGCUCAGAAACCCAUACUCCCAAUACCUAUAACCCGGGUAGAGAGCUCAUCAAAAUUCGGAUGCGCAAUUAGGGAACUUCAAAUCCCCCAGCAUAUCAGGAGGGUUUUCGCAACCUCAGCAUUAUCAGACCUCUUCUACACAUAACCCACAGAAUUAUCAGGCCUUUUACACAGUUACAUCAUUCUCGCUCUAGCCAAAGCCAUUCCAACCUCCACCUCAAGCUCAACCAACACAUAUCACCCCACAUAAAAGGUUGUGGAAGAUACCCUCCAACAAUUCAUUCAAUCCCCAAGGAGGGUAAAUUCACAGGUUGAUAAGAUGUUGGAUGACAUUAAAGUCAAUUAACUUUCUCACGACAACCUUGACCUUACUGAGAAAGGGUAAGUUACCUACACACACCUCAACCAAACCAUCUAGGCAUGUGCAUUCUCUGAUUCUCAAACCAACCACUCUGUCCAUGAGCAAGUUUCAAGCCAUCACUAUUUAUAAGAAGUGGUAAGACUAAUUGCAAACUAUUCUUCCUAAUUGAUCCUAAUGGUAGGGAAAGGCGUCUAAAUAGUUUUGACGAUGACGAUUGGGGCGAUAGAGAGACUGGUGAAAAAAAAGAGAGUGAGGUAUUGUCGAGAGAGGUGAGGAUAAAAAGAAAAAAAACUUGGUUAGUACCUAAGAGGAGGAAGUCUUAAGGGAGAACAUGAGAUUUUUGCUCCAUCCCAUUCCCCCAUCGGUUAGCCAAACCAAAUAACAUUUGAGUUCUAAAUUUAUAGACUUUCAGUUCCAAACAAGUCAAAAUAAUCUACCAACCUCUCUUGGAACCAUAAAACAAUGCCCUCUUAUGUUUAAAUGUCUUAAGGAUUUAUGCACAGUUAAGAGGAGGUUAAUGUUAAGAGAGAAUUCCUUCCUUGUCUAAGGAUGUCCAUUUCCUAGUUCAAAGCAGGUCAAGACCCCACAAAGUAUAAUAUCCGGUGUGGUCCUAACCGUGACAUGGGUGUCAUAGGAGACCAUAGGAUAGAGGGAUGCCUUUUGGAUUUGGGAUCGAGUGUGAUUUAUUGCCAAUAUCUGUGUAUGAGAAAUUGGGAUUAGGUGAGCCUGAAGCCUACUAGAUCACACUUUCCAACAGCAGAUCGCUCUAUCACAAAGCCCCAAGGGGGUGUGGAAGAUGUUUAGUAAAAGUUUGAUCAAGUUUUACUACCCAGCGGAUAUUUUGUGGUUUUAGAUACUCAACCAACCGGUUGUAGACCCCUAUCCAAAACCAUUUCCUAUUACAUUUUGGUCGACCUUUUCUAGCCACAUGUGAUGCCAUCAUUCAAUGUGCAGGGGGUCUCUUGAAAUUGCCUUUGGAAUAUGGCUGUUGGAACUCUUAACUGUUUAAUUCAGGAAACAAUCAGGGGAUUUUAGAGGAUCAUUCGGGAAGUAAAUCUUAUCGAAUCCAAUAGUGCAAGAGCACUUUGAGAGGCAGUGUGGGUAGAAAUGCCCUUAGCAGAAAUUGAAUGGUUGGGAGGGUAUGACUACUUGGAAGUUGAGAAAGUUGAAAAUUUUGCUGAAUGAUAACGGUCCUAGAGUUUUGUCCUGUAAUGACGGGGGUUCAAUGGACCCACCACUUUUGAGCUUUUGACUCCUAAUCCUAUUAAGCCCCAACCAUCAUAACUUGAGGCUCCUACAACCCUAAGAAAGCCUUUACCUCUACUCUUAAAUAUGUUUUUUUGGUGAAGGUUGGUUUAUUUUGAAUCUAUCCGUAGUGAUAUCCUCAUCACUACUGAAGCUCAGGAGAGGAAUUUUGUUGAAAAGUGCGCAAAAGAAACCGAAGGCCUAGGUUGGACACCUCGCCGAUUUUUACAUGGCAUUAUCAUCCCCCUUGUUCACUCAUCGCAUUAUUUAAGGAAGGAGCUAAGGGCCGGUGCGCCCAAAUGCAGUGGCGAUGGAACCCAACUAUAAGGAAGUUUGUUAAGGGUGGUGCAAAGCUCUUGAUACGGUAUUAUAAUACCCAUUGCCGAUUCUAAAUGGGUGAGUCCACCAAGUUUUGUUCCCCAAAAGUCUGGGGUAACGGUAGUCAAAAUGAGAAUAAUGAAUUGAUUCCUACCCACCCCCAGCGACUUCAACUGGGUGCGGAUUGUGCAUUGACGAUACCGGCGCCUUAAUGCCGUGACCGACCAAGAUCAUUUUUCCCUUCCCUUCCUUGACCAAGUCUUAGAGAGUGUAGCGGGCGGCUAUUAUUGCUUCUUUAGAUGGUUCUAAUGGCUAUAAUCAUGGAAAUACCUGGACCUACUAAGCAAGACUACCUUCACGUGUCCAUUCGCACAUUUGCUUCCACAAGCGCUGCCAUUUGGUUAUGCAAUGCUCCCCCGCCACCUUGUUUUAGAGAUGUUAUGAUUAGCAGUUUUAGUGAUAUUGGUGGAACGCAUUUUGGAGGUAUUUUUGGAUGAUUGUUUCGUGUAUGGGGGACACCUAUUACCAAUGGUUCUUGAAAAUCUUGAAUUGGUACUUAAGGAUGUGAAGAGAGCAAUCUUGUUUGAAUUGGGAUAAAUUUCCCUUCAUGGUGACACCGGGUAUAGUUUCUUUGGCCACAACAUUUCUGGGAGGGCAUGAGGUAGAUAAUUCUAAGGUAGAGCUCCAUCCAAAAGUUACCUGCCCCUCGGAAUGUAAGGGAUUUUAGGUCAUUUUUUUGGUCACUCAGGUUUUUAACCUUACCGGCGUUUCAUUCAAUUUUAGUGCCUUUCUAGGCCUUCUGUGUUUGCCCUCUCUUGGCAAAAGACGCUCCAUUCAAAAUGAAUUUCGUUCGUGGUCAACUAGUCUUUUGACAAUUGAAACUCACUUGACUACGCUCCCAUAAUCCACCUCCUGAUUGGUGCCUACCUUUUGAAUUAUGUUUGAGUUGCUAGUGACUUCGCCGUAGGGGCCCGUUCCUGGGCCCAAAAACAUGAGAAGAAACCCUCAUGUGCUCCAUUACGCAAGCAAAACAUGAAUGAGCCCAAGUGAACUAUACACCACCAGAGAAGAUUGUUAGCCAUUGUCUUUCUUCUCCGCUUUAAUACAAAUUUCGUUCGUACUUAGUGGGGUCACAUGGGAUAGUUUUUUCAAACCGACCACGCUGCCAUUAAGGUACCGUCUUGACCAAGCAAGAUGCAAACCUAGAUUGAUUAGGUGGGAUUCUCCUUUUUCAAGAAUUUAAUCUGAAAUUAGGGACAAAAAGGAGUGGAAAACGUUGUUGCUAUCAUUUAUCACUCCUCCUUUUUGAGCAGCUGGCAGAGGAUACUCUCUUAUCUGUGAAACGUUCCCUGACGAACAAAUUAUGUCUUGUCAACACUGUGAAUCAGUCUUUGAAUACCGUGGUAUGCCUACAGUAGCUAACUAUUUGGCCACAAAAUCAAUACCUUCCAAUUGGUCCUCAUGGACAAAAAGCGAUUCUUUCGGCUAGUAAGACCAUUCUUUUUGGGACGAGCCAUAUUUGUUCAAAUAUUCUUCAGAUCAGCUUUGAGGAGAUGUGUACCUGAUGAUGAAAGUUCAAGUAUCACAUAAAUUUUGGUCACUUCUCAAGCUUGUGGGGCAUUUUUCAUAUCAAAGAAAACUGUGACAAAAAUCUUACAAUGCCAGACUAUAUUGGCGCCUCAAUGUUCAAAGAUGUUUCUAGGUCUUUUUGUUUAGGCUGUGAUGAUAUCAAAGCUAAUGGUAGCCUUACUAGGAAACAAUGAUGCCCCUUAACCCUAUUCUAAGUUUAAGAGUUUUUGAUUGUUAAGGGCAUUGACUUUCAUGGGACCAUUUCCUAGUUCUUUGGAUAUCUAUACAUCUUGGUGGGCGUUGAUUAUGUUUCAAAAUGGGUAGAGGCUAUCCCUUCACGGACCAAUGACCAUUCAAAGUUUGUGGUCAAAUUCUUAAAAGAAUAUCAUUUUCUCUCGGUUUGGUAUCCUCGAGCCAUCAAUAAGUGAUGGUGGAUCCUAUUUUUGUAAUAAUAAGCCAAUGGGGGGUACUCGUUAAAAAAUAUGGAAAUUGUUCAUAGGUUGGCACAGCCUAUCAUCCUCAAACCCAAGGCCAAGUAGGUUGGCAAACCAAGAGAUUAAGCAGUUUUAGAAAAAACUGUUAAUCCUAACCGAAAGGUGGGCCUUGAGGUUGGUGGACGCUUUAUGGGCAUAUAGGACAGCUUACAGACCAUCUAGGGUCUUCUCUUAUAGGCUUAUUUACGGAAGGCGUGCCACCUUCUGGGAGAGAUAGAACACAAGGCCUUAUUGGUGUCAAAUCCGUCCAUUCAAUGAGAAUCUUUUGAGGAAGCAGCUCUCUUCGAAAAAAUUGUCAACUAAAAUUGAACUUGAGGAACUAAAAAUGAUGCUUCGAAAAUGCAAAAAUUUCAAAGGCCAAAAGAAAUUCCGUCAUGACCACAAAUUCAUCGUAAAAAACAUUUCGACGUUGGUCACAAUUUUCUUCUUUACCAUUCUCGAUUACAUCUUUUUUCAUCAUGAAAUUGAGAGUAGAAUUGUCCCGGCGCCAUAUCAGAUCACGAAUAUUUUCCAUGGUGCAGUGAAAGUACAAAUCCUAAGAAUGACAUGUUUUUCAAAGUCAACGGGCAAAGAUUAAAGCCCCUAUCUUGAGAUUUCCGUGGCCGGAGGUUGAUUGUGUGAUAUCAUGAUCAACCUCAUCAUGGCUUGAACCUCCUCAGGGUUUUUGCACCCCGGGGUUUUCACCUUGAUUUUAUUGCUUUGAGGACCAAUUGCAAAUCCUCUUAGUUGGGGGGGGUGGGGGAGUGCGAGCCAGGGGAUGAGAGCAUUGUUGCGGGAAAAAGGUUCGUAAGGGUUGGUAGGGCGAGGGGGGAGUAAGGGGAAUCUGGGAGGGGGGAGUGGAGUGUGUCUGGUUUCGGGGGAGGGGGCCAUAGAAAAAAAAAGGAAAGGAUGAAAUUAAAAAAAAAAUCGUUAUUAGUAUUCUAGUAAACCUUGUUAUUUUGAGUGAGGUAAUUGUAAGGGGUAUUAAUUUUGGAUUGAUCUAUCUUGUGCACACUGGAUUUUCGGUAUUUAAAGGUUGAUUUUGAUCAUAUGGUUUGAUACUAUGGAUUGCCAAUUCUCACACUUUUUCAUAUAAUUUUCAUGAUUGGGACGUGAAUUGAAGUGUUAGAGAUUAUUAAGAACCUCGCUCUAUUUAAUGUCAUUUGAGAGAUACGUUUGUCUCGUGCAUUAACUAAGUUUGAAUGGAUAAUUGAUUCACUUUGUGUCGGUUGAAAAAAUUACAAGUUUUGCCAUAAAAUCAAUUCAUAAGAGGAGAGUCUACAUUUUGUUACAUGGGCAUGCUAUUGACAUCUUAACUUAUUCGUGUGUGAAUGCAGUAUCAUUAUAAGGUGGAGACUUUGUACUGUGAGUUAUAGAGCCUAAAAUGAUCGUUUUCAGGUGUUAACAAUGUAUUCAAGGCAUGUGAUUGAUCUCAUUCAUUGAAUAGCUUCAUCAUGUUGAUUUUGGGUUUACCAGUUGAGUAGUAAUUGGAGUUAUUUGACACCUUACUAUACUCUUGAAGUUUUGAUUGAUUGUGUUUUUCGGGAUUAUAAAAGUACAAGCCAUUUCAUUACAUGAGGCCAUUCUUGUUUAUCUUUCUUUCUCGAUAUUCGUAUAUACAAGUUUAAAAAAAUUUUUUUUAAAAAGUUUGUCAAUGCUAAAUUUUCAGAGUUGAGCAUUGAUGAUACAAGUAUGAAGUGAAAGAGGUAUGGAGUUGGAAAAAGUAAAGAAAAGAAAGAAAAAAAAAUGAUGAAAAGCGAGUGAAAAAAUUUGAAAUUUGAAAGUGAAUGUUCAUUGAAUCAUCAUGUGUAAUGCUGCAUGCAUAUGUUGUGAAAAACCUAUUACCGCUUUCCAUCCUCUACAUGGGACUCUUCUUCA